GAAGAAGCAAAGAACUAUCAUUAAUAAUUUACAGACUUUGUUCCAAAGGCUGUAAAGGGUAACAUCUCUGGUGUUAAUCCUCUUCACAGCAGCUAUAUUUUCAUCUUAUGGAAAAAUCCAAGGCUAAUGGUAAAAUAACUUCCCCACGGUCACACUGUGCUACUCUAAAGGGACAGCACAUCCCGCAAAGGACCUCUCCUAAAGAGCAGAGAACUUUUCAUUACUGGUGUUGUUCAAGAAAAGCCUUGAUGAUGUAGAAGAGAUUCUUUGAAGGUCACUGCUGUUUCAUUGCCAAGAUGAACUAGGAGGAUGAAGGUCAGUCUUUUCCUCCUGAUGAAGGAAUUCAUGAACUGCAUGCUACCCUUACUGUUAUGACUUCUAAAACUGCUGCAACCAUUUGAUUGGAAAAGUAUUUUACAAUAAAUGCUGCGUUCCAUGUGCUAAGUACUGAAGUUAUUACCAUGACAACAAGACCACCUUCUUGCCUACAGUUCGGAGAUUAAUAAAGGGCUCCUGAGAUAACCACAAGGCACAUGAAAUAACCCAGGAACUAUAAAUUGCAAAAGCCCCCGAGUCUCCCUGGCAAUCAAUAAAGCACAGAAGCUUUGUUCAGAUUGCCAACCACCCGGUUCAGUUCUGGACAACCUCAUACUGCCAUCCACGUAAGUGUCUAUGCUGCAUUGUAACUUUUGGAAAAACAUGCACACACCUGGUGCCACCUGGGUAGGUGUGACCAGAACCUGCCUGUUGGAAAAUAAAGGAUUAAAAAAAUGAAAUGAGAGAAAGUGACACAUAAAAGGACAACUUAAGGUUUCCGCAAAGCAAAUACAUAACCAAGCUGAUCAACCCUCCAGCAUAGUCCUUCUGAGCUGUGUUUCCACAGGAAAAUGAGGGUAGAGGCAAUCACAAAAGUCUUGGCUCUCAUCCACCCCUGUGGCCUGCUGACACAGGCCCAGCUUGCCAGAGCACUGGGGUCACAAUGAAGUUGCUGCCAGUAGAGCUGCUUUCAUUAAAAUUGAGUAAGAAGAACAGGUAAUGGGGUUGGGCAGAAACUAGGACCUGAAAGUGGUUGGGAUUGGGGGACUCCUGUCUUCUAAUUGGGAAGGCUGGGUAGGGCUUCUUGGUAGUACCUGACAAUUAUCUUGUUCUAGCAUUUACAGCCUUUCUCUACUCCUGGAGUCACUGCAGGGCCCCCAGGGGACUCUGAAAACAGCCAGUUGUUAAGCAAGGGUAUUCUCCACUAGGGCUACCAUGAAGUUUAUAUUAUAGAGCUGGAUCUUUCACCCCUUUUGUGCUGUAAACCAUUUGUGCACAGCCUUUGAACUAUUUCUCAUAAUAAUACUUUUUAAAUAUAUAUAAAAUAUAUGUCAUUACAAAUAAAAUCAACUAUGAUGAAAUAUGGCACAUGUAUACAUAUGUAACUAACCUGCACAAAGUGCACAUGUACCCUAAAACUUAAAGUAUAAUAAAAAAAUAUAUAUAUAUAUUUAUAAAUAUUGA
rnacentral:lncRNA from 1 species